GGUCUAGAUUUUGAAGAUGAAGAUUUGAAGAAGUCAACCUAUAUAUUUAUAUUGCAUAUAUGUAUAUUUUUAUAUAGCAUAUGUGUUGUAUAUUAUAUUUUUAUAUAGCAUAUAUAUUGUAUAUAUUUGAUUUUAAUUUGCCCCACAUGGUGUCACAUUGUCCAAACCUUUUUCCUGUUCUCAGCUAAUUUAGUUCGCUACUUAGCACGCCAAUAGUGCACGCUAACUGACCCAACUCUUUAUUACUGAACCCCACACUGUUUUCUGAAUGUGUGAAUCUGACAGAAAAAAAGGAAGGUCCUUUAUUUAUUUAUUCUUUUUUUUUUUUUAUUUUCCAAAAGGCCCUGGUUUUGGGUGAGUGACCUCCCCUCCACGUCUCGACUGAUCAAUAGCGCUUCGAGCUUAUCUCACACUUCCAUUUACUGUUUGACUAAACCCCCUCAGGCCACAUAAAGAGGAGCCUGACCAGAAGGACACAGUCAGCAAACAGUCAUGAAGCUCGGAGCCUGGAGAGUGGGAUUGUACCUCACACGUCUGUCGCUACAGCAGAAUUCGGGUCAGAGUAACGGUGUGCCAGUGUGCUAGAACAUUUUGUGUGACACUGGACGUCCACAUGGUUUAUUCAGAUUGUGGAUGAGUAAAUUAGAAUAUUAUUACCACUUAGUGAGCUCACACGCGUACAUGGAGACCAGCAUGCUCGAUGGCGGCCAUCUUUGAACUGGACGUGUUUAUUACUUUGCCCUCCGGAGUUAUGGAGUGUGACAAUGGUGUUUGUGUUGUGUUUAAUCAAACGCCAUUAUCACACUAAAUAACUACAGAGUGACCGUCCGGCACCAGCUCAUCUUCAGCUUGACAGAAGGACAUGGACCGGACAUAGGAACUGCAGCACCUCAUACGUUCAACUACAAAGCUUUCAAAUAAAUAAAUAAAAUAACUAAAAUAAAGUCUUGUCACUGCUGUAUGUACUGCAUGCAAAGGCUAAUCAGCACUGAUCAAAUGUGGUGUGUGGUUAAGGUUGAGCAUGACACUUAUUUUUUCUGUCAGAAUUUGUAAUGAUUCGUCCACAUAAGCAGUCUUUCAGUGACCAAUAUUGAUAGCAAAGGCAUGAUUGGCAGGUCAACAGCCCUGUCGUAUUUCUUACGUGAUUAAAAUAGCUCAGUAAUCCUGGCUGAAGGCACGCACUGUACAUAUGCAGACACGACUACUGACCCAUGUUUCCUAAUCUGAAUCUACACUGCUCAUCAAAAGUUUGGGGACACUUACUUUGUUGGUUUGCAGUUGCAUCACGUUUUAAAGAAUAAGCAGGUUUUAUUGAAAGGAAAACAAUAUCACAUAAAUAUUUCUGCCAAAUUUGUGCCAAAGGCAAUGCAUUUAUGCCACUGUUGUGAUGUCAGCACUCAUCAGCACUCAAACCUUUUAGCUGUUUAAGCCGCUGUAAAGGAAUAAGUUGGCAAAAAAUCACAUUUCUACUUCUUUUCUUACUCCGGAAGUAGAUAAUCAGUUACGACACAUUUGAAGUCUGUUCACAGAUGGAGCUGUGUGGCUAAUGUAGCUAGCAAAGACUAGAAGUCAGUAGUCACCCAAAUAAUGCAAUUGCUUCGGUAAUAAUACAUGACCAAACUUCUCUCAACCUGCUCAAUCCACAUCCAGGUCUUCAUUAAGGUUGUGCAGAUUAGUUAAUGUGCAUGACUUGCUGUGAGCUGUAAAAAUAAGCAAAACCUCACCACUAUGGGCAGCCAUUUCAAACAACACCAGGACUGGUAUUCACAAAGCAGUCAUGAAUAAGUGGUCUCUGUCACAGAAACUGAAUUUAGGUCAGCACUCCUAUGCAGGUAAGUUUGUGAAUAGAGGCCCUGUUGUCUAAAGGGGCUUCCAGCAGCGGUCAGCUACAUGGUGAGGUUUUAUUCAUUAUUAUAGCUGACAGUAAGUCAUACUGUAUCCUAAACCACAUCAAAAGCAACCUUCAUUAAGACCAGAUUGAGUGAGUUGAGAGAUGUUUUGGCAGAGGGGAACCAUCAAGGCCUUCUAGAGAAGGCCUAAUGAUUUCUGGGAACAAAACUGGAAAAAGAAUUCUGGAAAAAAAAACAAAACACAAUGCAAUUCUGUGAUAUUUAGCUCAUUUUUGUUCCAUUGACUCAUUCUUAAACUCGGCCAAUAUUACUGAACAACUCUUUUUUUCAUUGGUAAGGUUUGGAUGAAAACAAAAGGGUUAAAUUCUUGAAAUACCCAGAAAAUUGGCCAAUCAGGAAUUGUUUUUCUCCAUGGUAUAUAUGUAGAUAAAGCUAAGUGAGUUUUCUUAUCGUUCAGCACUUCAGGACCUGAAGAGAAGUCGAUGCAUUAGGUUAACCAUCAGCAUAAUUACGACAUGACAGAGGAAUCAACCAAUCAUGUUUUGAUUUCCAAUCAAUUUUGUGAGAAAAAAGAAAAAACAUCACUCUAGGCCUUCUGGAAGUCCCAGAUAUGUCACUGGCUUUGAAUCUGAGUGGCAGCUCAACCAGUGGGUUGUUAGAAAUGCAAAACAGCGAAAUGCCUUUUAGAAUAUAAAAUUUGCCUGUGUUUAACCUAGAACUGUUGAAAAAUGUUCAUGUGAAUUACUGUUAGCUUCGUGCUAACAAACUACUAGUAUCGUAUAGGGUCUUACAGGGGCAUCAGCAGAAGUUAGCAUUAUCAUAGAGGUGGGUUUUCCCUUGUUUUUAGCAGGUUUCGACAUUUAUGGCCUGAAAUGAAGGCCUAGCUCUAAUAGUCACGAUUUGGCACUGAGUGUUGGGAUCUAUUUUUAUGGAAACAAUUUGAGCUAUUUGGGUGACUAUUGACUUCUAGUGUCUUGUUAGUUCGCAGCUGCAGUUCUCAAUGAAAGAAGCAAAAUUUGGACCAUGUUUUGACUGAUCAACUACAUCUGGAGUAAGUGGAACUAUUACUGAAACAAUAGUUUAGAAAAGAAAACUGUAAAAUCAUUAAUUAGGCAAAAGUAGGUCUUCACACCAAGACACUCUAUGUUGGAAAUGAAGCCAAGGGUUGAGGAUAAAUACGGCCAAAUAAUUAGCGCCAAGCUCUUUAAUACUAACAGAACCCUUGCAGGUAUGUUUUGACACUUUGACAGCGAAAAUCUAACUUGUCAUACUGUGUCUAGGCAACUUUGUUGGUGGGAACACCUGCAUGUGUCCUGAGAUCAAAUGAGAGGGCAAAAUGUCAUGUGUAACCUUUAGGCUGUGUUCAAAUAAAGCUUGGACUCGUA